AUUGGGUCUGAAUUAGAGUUAAUUAAGUUAUACAAAUUGAAAAUUAAGAUUAUUAUGAAUUAAAUUUACUUAUGACGGUCCAAUUUGAAGAUGCAAUUUAUUGACAGAGAUUUUGAGUUUGAUCUAAAAUCGGAGGCAUAAAUGAUUUGAGGAACCAAAACUGAGGAUGGAAGUAAGUUUAAUUUAAUAUUUAAAGCCUUUUGGGAGUUUGAUUAAAAAUCUGAUUCAGACUAAUAAUUUAUAUAUAAUUAAUUAAACUCUAAUGGAAAUCAAAUUAGAUUAAUUACAUUAUGUGGGGUUUAUGAUAAGUUAAGAGUAAUUUAAUUAUGUGCUAAUCAAGACUUAAUUGGGUUUAAUGGGAUUAAUUAACCAAGUGUUACUUGUAAUUAGUUAAGAUUAAGUGGGUUUAAUUGAGUUAAUACAUAAUUAGCCAUUAAGCUAAUCUUAUUCAUUUAUUAAUCAAAGAAAAGUGUAGAUGACUCUAGAGUAGUGGUGUGUGAGUGUGUGAUAUAUGUGCUGAAGCCUUGGAGUCUAAAAUAUAGAGAAAGAAAGAGAGAAAGCCGUGAGAGGCAGAGGCAGAGACAGAGAGAGUCCACGAACCUCAGAGACAGAGAGAGUCCACGAACAUCAAGAAAUUGAGAAGGAAGAAGAGAAAUUGAAGGGGAAAACUCAUGAACUCAUCAAGGAACUCAAGAAUUUAAGCUCUAGGUCACACGCUAUUGUCUGCCUGAUUUAUCUGAUCUGUCUAGCCUGUCUGAUUUGCUUCUGCAGCUAUCUUAUGCUAUCUGUACCCGGACCGGAUGUUUCUUAUAGAACUGACAAGCUAUCUGUACCCGACUGGAGGUUUCUUUACGGAACUGAUAAGUUAUCCGUUCCUAGUCCGGAGGUUCCUUUAUGGAACUGACAAGUUAUCCGUACCCUGCCGGAGGUUCCUCCAUGGAACUGACAAGUGAUCAGGCGCGUGACCAAGCUUAGAGGCGUCUGCUUGGAAUCUGCUUUUGUCAGCCAACUUAUGUGCCUCCCGUGGAGAUUCCGGAUAUGUCAAAUGGUUAUGGCUAUGUGAUUAAAGUUUAAGUUUUAUUUUCUUGAUUGGUUAAACAAGUUUUUGUUUAUUUUGUAAAUAGGGCUAAGUCCCUUUUUGUCUAGCCUAUAUAUAUAUGAUGAUGUGUAAAUGUAUGAAUGUAAAGUUCAAAAUUUUUCAGUCUCA